AAAUGCAGCUGAAAGAAGAACUUGCAUAUAAAAAGGAAGCGCGAAGAAACGGUAGAGUUGCGACAUUUCUGGACACAACAAAAUUAAAUAAUUGUGGUUCGUGAAUGAAAUCAUUUCAUCUCUCCUUCUGACAAGAUGGGGGAGUCUUGUGUGACUUUGCUUCCAUGUGGUUGAAGGUCGUGACUAGCAUAACAUCCUGCUUUGUCGGAUGGAUUCGAAAAGAGACAAUGGAAAAACAGUACACGACUGUUUAGCAGAUGAUGAGCCAGACAGUCAAGGAGGAAAGGACUGAGAAACUGCCGUUACACUGCUGUUUUCUAUUGCUUCUUGUGUGAGGUUUGUGUUUUUAAGGCUCCGUGCGUGAGCAAGGUCAAAUUGUUCAGACCAUUUUUAUUUCGUUUUUCUCCCUUCCAUGUAUUGACAAUGUGACUGAUGUCUUUAUAAAACAUGCAACAAUGAAUUGUUAA